rnacentral:rRNA from 1 species
CGGCAUGCCUAACACAUGCAAGUCAACUUGACUGAAGGAGCAAUCUGACAGUAGAGUGGCGCAAGGGUGCGUAACGCGUAAGUAACUUGCCCAAGGUAAGGAAUAACGUCGAGAAAUCGGCGCUAAUACCUCAUAAUGCAGCGGAUCCGCAUGGAUAUGUUGUUAAAGGUUUACCGCCUUGGGAUAGGCUUGCGUCUGAUUAGCUAGUUGGUGUGGUAACGGCACACCAAGGCUACGAUCAGUAACUGGUCUGAGAGGAUGAUCAGUCACACUGGAACUGAGACACGGUCCAGACUCCUACGGGAGGCAGCAGUGAGGAAUAUUGGGCAAUGCUCGAAAGAGUGACCCAGCAACGCCGCGUGGAGGAUGAAGGUAUUCUAUAUCGUAAACUCCUGUGAGAGCAGACGAAAGACAGAUUAUUAAUCUGGAUGACUGUAUGCUCAGAGGAAGCCCCGGCUAACUACGUG